AAUACCGCAUAAUACCCACGGGUCAAAGGAGCAAUUCGCUUCAGGAGGGGGUCGCGGCCGAUUAGUUAGUUGGCGGGGUAAUGGCCCACCAAGACGAUGAUCUGUAUCCGGCCUGAGAGGGCGCACGGACACACUGGAACUGAAACACGGUCCAGACUCCUACGGGAGGCAGCAGUGGGGAAUUUUGCGCAAUGGGGGAAACCCUGACGCAGCAACGCCGCGUGGAGGAUGAAAUCCCUUGGGAUGUAAACUCCUUUCGAUCGGGAAGAUAAUGACGGUACCGGGAGAAGAAGCCCCGGCUAACUUCGUGCCAGCAGCCGCGGUAAUACGAGGGGGGCAAGCGUUGUUCGGAUUUAUUGGGCGUAAAGGGUGCGUAGGCGGUUUGGCAAGUCUUAUGUGAAAUCUAUGGGCUCAACCCAUAGUCUGCAUAAGAAACUGCCGGGCUUGAGUAUGGGAGAGGUGAGUGGAAUUUCCGGUGUAGCGGUGAAAUGCGUAGAUAUCGGAAGGAACACCUGUGGCGAAGCGGCUCACUGGACCAU
rnacentral:rRNA from 1 species